CCAAGAUUGGUUGUUAAGAAAGUUUUGGUUAGAGCUCAAAAUGAAGGGGAUGGUGCUGUUGUUAGAAGAAGCAUUGUAAGUUUUACCACCUGCUGGAUUUUUUGACCAUCCACACAGAGGAUUUGAGACUGUCACUUACAUGUUGAAGGGAGCAUUUACUCAUCAAGAUUUUGCUGGUCACAAGGGUACAAUCAGAACAGGUGAUGUUCAG